AUGCUCGCUUCAGCAACACAUAUGCUAAAAAUUAGAACAAUACAGAGAAGAUUAGCAUAGCUCCUGCACAAGGAUGACAUACAAAUUCGUGAAGCAUUCCAUAUUUUA